rnacentral:rRNA from 1 species
AACCCUCACAGCUAGCCCACCCAAUAUACGUCAACAACCACCAUUAAUGCCCCCCCAGAUAAGUACAAGGAACCAACAAACCAUUUUUCCCUCUUAGUAUAGGAGAUAGAAAAGGACCUCCGGCGCUAUACAGAAAGUACCGCAAGGGAAAGCUGAAAGAGAUAUGAAACAGCUCAACAAAGGCCUGGAAAGCAGAGCUUAGCCCUCGUACCUUUUGCAUCAUGACUUAGUCAGAACCUCUCAAGCAAAAAGUGUUUUACGUUUGAACCCCCGAAACUGGGCGAGCUACUCCGAGACAGCCUAUUUAGGGCGCACCCGUCUCUGUGGCAAAAGAGUGGGACGAUCUUCGAGUAGAGGUGACAGACCUAUCGAGCCCAGUUAUAGCUGGUUGCCCAGGAAUUGAAUAGGAGUUCAGCCUUUUGGCUUUUUACACCGCCUUGGCCGACUUCGGCCCUCCCCAGGGUAAAAGAACACCAAAAGAGCUACUCGAGAGAGGGACAGCUCUCUCGAAGAAAGACACAACUUUUUCGGAAGGCUAAGGAUCACACGCCCGAAGGACUUGCGUCUGGGUGGGCCUAAGAGCAGCCACCCCCUCAAGAAAGCGUUACAGCUUAGGCACAGAGUACCGAUAAUAAGGACAGCCCCCUCCCAAGCCUCCCUACCUACUGGGCCCUCCCAUGCACCCAUGGGAGAGAUACUGCUAACAUGAGUAAUAAGAGGGCUGAGGCCCUCUCCCUGCAGAUGUGUAAAUCAGGACGAACCCCCACUGAGAGUUAGCGCCCCAUACAGAAGGAAUUAAGUGGGACAAUAAAAACUAGAAACCCCCUCAACCACCAGCGUUACCCCUACACAGGACUGCCCUCCGGGAAAAACAAAAAGGGGGAGAAGGAACUCGGCAAACAUCUGCCUCGCCUGUUUACCAAAAACACCGCCUCUUGCUCUCAAAACAUAAGAGGUCUCGCCUGCCCUGUGAAAUAUUUCAACGGCCGCGGUAUUUUGACCGUGCAAAGGUAGCGUAAUCACUUGUCUUUUAAAUGAAGACCCGUAUGAAUGGCACGACGAGGGCUAAGCUGUCUCCUCCCCUCGGUUAAUGAAAUUGAUCUCCCCGUGCAGAAGCGGGGAUAAACGCGUAAGACGAGAAGACCCUAUGGAGCUUUAGACGCCCAAGGCAGCCCGCGUUUAGACCCCUCACUUACCCAGGGCGGACUCAAGCAGCCACUGCCCUCCUGUCUUUGGUUGGGGCGACCGCGGGAUACCAAUUAACUCCCGAGAGGAAGGGGACCCCCUCUCCCAGGCGGGGCCGGCAGGCCCAACUCCCAGAAAUUCUGACCGACAAGAUCCGGCAAAGCCGAUUAACGGACCCAGUUACCCUAGGGAUAACAGCGCAAUCUCCUUCUAGAGCCCCCAUCGACAAGGAGGUUUACGACCUCGAUGUUGGAUCAGGACUUCCUAACGGUGCAGCCGCUGUUAAGGGUUU